GCGUGGAAUAGAUUGCAACUUUGCCGUAAUUAUCACACAGAAAUAUUCCCCACUUGGGUGCGAAACAUCGCCACCAAAUUCCGCCGAAGUUUGCCAGCCGACCCAGCAAUGGAUCUGAAGCUUGCCACGCACUAUGUUUCCAAUCCGGGAACACAGUGACGAAGAUUAACGUGAUGUGGAUUGGAAUGUGCAAGCCAAAACAUCCAGCGCCAAAUUGGUGAAGCAAACCCAUGUUUUAGUAGGUUAUUAUAUACAAUCUAACAAACUAAAAAGCUUUUUUUUGUAACGUUACUGCAGUGAUUUAGUUUAAACAACCUGGAUUCAGUUUUAAACCUAAGAUCAGCACAGAUUUGGUAAAUUUAAAAGCGCCUUACUUAAAUGGUAGCAAAAUAUUACUGCUCUAAAACUCAAUUAUUUUUAUUUGAUCCUUAUAACAAUUUGAUUGCAUUCUUCGGCCAACUGCUUUUCGCAACAUCUGGCUAUAUCAUUAAACUCUUAUGCUUUCAUCUCGAUCAUAGAGCAACUACAGCAGGUUACAAAUGAAACUAACAGAAGAUAAUCCGACAUAGCAACGUUAUGUUUCUACCGUUGCCCAGAUGAAUCUCAAUAACGGAUCGUUAAAUAUUGACUGACGUUACCCCGUUUUUGAUUAUCAUUUUUGCCGUAAUUUGUUAAAUCUAUCUUUGUUCAAAUGUACAUAAUAAACAACAUUUUUAAGUUUACCGCGCAUUUUAAUAGGCUUUGAUCGACAUUGUUGGUACCUUUUAUGCAUCAUCUGUUUAUAACAUAUACGCUUUACAAUAUAUAUAGUGAUGUGGGGUAAGAUGGGACACUUUUAGCACAUAAUAUCCAAAUAACCUGAUCGUGUUUUAAACAUUUAACAACGGUUUAUAGGAGUCGUAAGGAUACGGCUUUAUAUUGCUUUGAAUGUUUUUUGUUUACCACCAAAUGAGACGAGUAAACAGAAUGAAACUGUGUCCCAUCAUUCCCACCCUACUAUACUUUAUGAAAUUCAAAUGUCCG